rnacentral:rRNA from 1 species
UACGGAGGGGGUUAGCGUUGUUCGGAAUGACUGGGCGUAAAGCGCGCGUAGGCGGAUCAGGAAGUUGGGGGUGAAAUCCCGGGGCUCAACCCCGGAAUGGCCUUCAAAACUCCUGGUCUUGAGUUCGAGAGAGGUGAGUGGAAUUCCCGGUGUAGAGGUGAAAUUCGUAGAUAUCGGGAGGAAUACCAGUGGCGAAGGCGGCGACCUGGGCCAAUACUGACGCUGAGGUGCGAAAGUGUGGGGAGCAAACAGG